rnacentral:rRNA from 1 species
UACCAGCACCCCGAGUGGUCGGGACGAUUAUUGGGCCUAAAGCAUCCGUAGCCGGUUCUACAAGUCUUCCGUUAAAUCCACCUGCUUAACAGAUGGGCUGCGGAGGAUACUAUGGAGCUAGGAGGCGGGAGAGGCAAGCGGUACUUAGUGGGUAGGGGUAAAAUCCGUUGAUCCAUUGAAGACCACCAGUAGCGAAGGCGGCUUGCCAGAACGCACUCGACGGUGAGGGAUGAAAGCUGGGGGAGCAAACCGG